rnacentral:tRNA from 1 species
GGAGAUGUGAGCGGAAUGGCAUCGCAGCGGUUUGCUAAACCGUACCGGUAAAACGGGUGCAGGUUCGAAUCCUGCCAUCUCCG